UUAGAGUUUGAUCCUGGCUCAGGAUGAACGCUAGCGGCAGGCUUAACACAUGCAAGUCGAGGGGCAGCGAGAUCAGUGCUUGCACUGAUUGUCGGCGACCGGCGCACGGGUGCGUAACGCGUAUGCAACCUACCCAUUACAGGGGGAUAACACUGAGAAAUCGGUACUAAUACCCCAUAACAUCCAGGGAGGCAUCUUCUUGGGUUGAAAACUCCGGUGGUAAUGGAUGGGCAUGCGUUGUAUUAGUUAGUUGGUGGGGUAACGGCUCACCAAGACAACGAUACAUAGGGGGACUGAGAGGUUAACCCCCCACAUUGGUACUGAGACACGGACCAAACUCCUACGGGAGGCAGCAGUGAGGAAUAUUGGUCAAUGGACGCAAGUCUGAACCAGCCAUGCCGCGUGCAGGAAGACGGCUCUAUGAGUUGUAAACUGCUUUUGUACGAGGGUAAACGCAGAUACGCGUAUCUGUCUGAAAGUAUCGUACGAAUAAGGAUCGGCUAACUCCGUGCCAGCAGCCGCGGUAAUACGGAGGAUUCAAGCGUUAUCCGGAUUUAUUGGGUUUAAAGGGUGCGUAGGCGGUCGGAUAAGUUAGAGGUGAAAUCCCGGGGCUCAACUUCGGAAUUGCCUCUGAUACUGUUCGGCUAGAGAGUAGUUGCGGUAGGCGGAAUGUAUGGUGUAGCGGUGAAAUGCUUAGAGAUCAUACAGAACACCGAUUGCGAAGGCAGCUUACCAAGCUACUUCUGACGUUGAGGCACGAAAGCGUGGGGAGCAAACAGGAUUAGAUACCCUGGUAGUCCACGCAGUAAACGAUGAUAACUCGUUGUCGGCGAUACAGUGUCGGUGACUAAGCGAAAGCGAUAAGUUAUCCACCUGGGGAGUACGUUCGCAAGAAUGAAACUCAAAGGAAUUGACGGGGGCCCGCACAAGCGGAGGAACAUGUGGUUUAAUUCGAUGAUACGCGAGGAACCUUACCCGGGCUUGAAAGUUAGUGACGGAUCUUGAAAGAGGUCUUCCCUUCGGGGCACGAAACUAGGUGCUGCAUGGUUGUCGUCAGCUCGUGCCGUGAGGUGUCGGGUUAAGUCCCAUAACGAGCGCAACCCCUACCGUUAGUUGCCAGCAGGUCAAGCUGGGCACUCUGACGGGACUGCCGGUGUAAGCCGAGAGGAAGGUGGGGAUGACGUCAAAUCAGCACGGCCCUUACGUCCGGGGCUACACACGUGUUACAAUGGCAGGUACAGAGGGCAGCUACCUAGCGAUGGGAUGCGAAUCUCGAAAGCCUGUCUCAGUUCGGAUUGGAGGCUGAAACCCGCCUCCAUGAAGUUGGAUUCGCUAGUAAUCGCGCAUCAGCCAUGGCGCGGUAAAGACGUUCCCGGGCCUUGUACACACCGCCCG
rnacentral:rRNA from 1 species